GGGUUGUGAGGUUAAGCGACUAAGCGUACACGGUGGAUGCCCUGGCAGUCAGAGGCGAUGAAGGACGUGCUAAUCUGCGAUAAGCGUCGGUAAGGUGAUAUGAACCGUUAUAACCGGCGAUUUCCGAAUGGGGAAACCCAGUGUGAUUCGUCACACUAUCAUUAACUGAAUCCAUAGGUUAAUGAGGCGAACCGGGGGAACUGAAACAUCUAAGUACCCCGAGGAAAAGAAAUCAACCGAGAUUCCCCCAGUAGCGGCGAGCGAACGGGGAGGAGCCCAGAGCCUGAAUCAGUGUGUGUGUUAGUGGAAGCGUCUGGAAAGGCGCGCGAUACAGGGUGACAGCCCCGUACACAAAAAUGCACAUGCUGUGAGCUCGAUGAGUAGGGCGGGACACGUGGUAUCCUGUCUGAAUAUGGGGGGACCAUCCUCCAAGGCUAAAUACUCCUGACUGACCGAUAGUGAACCAGUACCGUGAGGGAAAGGCGAAAAGAACCCCGGCGAGGGGAGUGAAAAAGAACCUGAAACCGUGUACGUACAAGCAGUGGGAGCACAGAGCAAUCUGUGUGACUGCGUACCUUUUGUAUAAUGGGUCAGCGACUUAUAUUCUGUAGCAAGGUUAACCGAAUAGGGGAGCCGAAGGGAAACCGAGUCUUAACUGGGCGUUAAGUUGCAGGGUAUAGACCCGAAACCCGGUGAUCUAGCCAUGGGCAGGUUGAAGGUUGGGUAACACUAACUGGAGGACCGAACCGACUAAUGUUGAAAAAUUAGCGGAUGACUUGUGGCUGGGGGUGAAAGGCCAAUCAAACCGGGAGAUAGCUGGUUCUCCCCGAAAGCUAUUUAGGUAGCGCCUCGUGAAUUCAUCUCCGGGGGUAGAGCACUGUUUCGGCAAGGGGGUCAUCCCGACUUACCAACCCGAUGCAAACUGCGAAUACCGGAGAAUGUUAUCACGGGAGACACACGGCGGGUGCUAACGUCCGUCGUGAAGAGGGAAACAACCCAGACCGCCAGCUAAGGUCCCAAAGUCAUGGUUAAGUGGGAAACGAUGUGGGAAGGCCCAGACAGCCAGGAUGUUGGCUUAGAAGCAGCCAUCAUUUAAAGAAAGCGUAAUAGCUCACUGGUCGAGUCGGCCUGCGCGGAAGAUGUAACGGGGCUAAACCAUGCACCGAAGCUGCGGCAGCGACACUGUGUGUUGUUGGGUAGGGGAGCGUUCUGUAAGCCUGUGAAGGUGUGCUGUGAGGCAUGCUGGAGGUAUCAGAAGUGCGAAUGCUGACAUAAGUAACGAUAAAGCGGGUGAAAAGCCCGCUCGCCGGAAGACCAAGGGUUCCUGUCCAACGUUAAUCGGGGCAGGGUGAGUCGACCCCUAAGGCGAGGCCGAAAGGCGUAGUCGAUGGGAAACAGGUUAAUAUUCCUGUACUUGGUGUUACUGCGAAGGGGGGACGGAGAAGGCUAUGUUGGCCGGGCGACGGUUGUCCCGGUUUAAGCGUGUAGGCUGGUUUUCCAGGCAAAUCCGGAAAAUCAAGGCUGAGGCGUGAUGACGAGGCACUACGGUGCUGAAGCAACAAAUGCCCUGCUUCCAGGAAAAGCCUCUAAGCAUCAGGUAACAUCAAAUCGUACCCCAAACCGACACAGGUGGUCAGGUAGAGAAUACCAAGGCGCUUGAGAGAACUCGGGUGAAGGAACUAGGCAAAAUGGUGCCGUAACUUCGGGAGAAGGCACGCUGAUAUGUAGGUGAAGUCCCUCGCGGAUGGAGCUGAAAUCAGUCGAAGAUACCAGCUGGCUGCAACUGUUUAUUAAAAACACAGCACUGUGCAAACACGAAAGUGGACGUAUACGGUGUGACGCCUGCCCGGUGCCGGAAGGUUAAUUGAUGGGGUCAGCGCAAGCGAAGCUCUUGAUCGAAGCCCCGGUAAACGGCGGCCGUAACUAUAACGGUCCUAAGGUAGCGAAAUUCCUUGUCGGGUAAGUUCCGACCUGCACGAAUGGCGUAAUGAUGGCCAGGCUGUCUCCACCCGAGACUCAGUGAAAUUGAACUCGCUGUGAAGAUGCAGUGUACCCGCGGCAAGACGGAAAGACCCCGUGAACCUUUACUAUAGCUUGACACUGAACAUUGAGCCUUGAUGUGUAGGAUAGGUGGGAGGCUUUGAAGUGUGGACGCCAGUCUGCAUGGAGCCGACCUUGAAAUACCACCCUUUAAUGUUUGAUGUUCUAACGUGGACCCGUGAUCCGGGUUGCGGACAGUGUCUGGUGGGUAGUUUGACUGGGGCGGUCUCCUCCUAAAGAGUAACGGAGGAGCACGAAGGUUGGCUAAUCCUGGUCGGACAUCAGGAGGUUAGUGCAAUGGCAUAAGCCAGCUUGACUGCGAGCGUGACGGCGCGAGCAGGUGCGAAAGCAGGUCAUAGUGAUCCGGUGGUUCUGAAUGGAAGGGCCAUCGCUCAACGGAUAAAAGGUACUCCGGGGAUAACAGGCUGAUACCGCCCAAGAGUUCAUAUCGACGGCGGUGUUUGGCACCUCGAUGUCGGCUCAUCACAUCCUGGGGCUGAAGUAGGUCCCAAGGGUAUGGCUGUUCGCCAUUUAA
rnacentral:rRNA from 1 species